rnacentral:rRNA from 1 species
CCUACGGGAGGCAGCAGUGAGGAAUAUUGGUCAAUGGGCGGAAGCCUGAACCAGCCAAGUCGCGUGAGGGAUUAAGGCCCUGCGGGUCGUAAACCUCUUUUGCCGGGGAGCAGUGGUCCGGACGCGUCCGGACCGGGACAGUUACCGGCGAACAAGCAGCGGCCAACUCCUUGCCAGCAGCCGCGGUAAUACGGAGGAUUCGAGCGUUAUCCGGCUUUAUUGGGUGUAAAGGGCGCGUAGGCGGGCAUUUACUCCGGCGGUAAAAUGUCGGGGCUAAACCCCGAGCUGCCGUCGGAACUGGGUGCCUUGAGUGGGCGAGAAGUAUGCGGAAUGCGUGGUGUAGCGGUGAAGUGCAUAGAUAUCACGCAGAACCCCGAUUGCGAAGGCAGCAUACCGGCGCACUACUGACGCUGAGGCACGAAAGUGCGGGUAUCGAACAGGAUUAGAUACCCGAGUAGUC